AAUGAACGUUGGCGGCGUGGAUGAGGCAUGCAAGUCGUGCGGAAGUGCCCGCAAGGGUACUUUAGCGGCGAAAGGGAGAGUAACACGUGGGUAACCUACCCCUAGAUCUGGGAUAGCUGCGGGAAACUGCAGGUAAUACCGGAUAAUGUCCCCGGACCAAAGGUGUGAUUCCGUCUAGGGAGGGGCCCGCGUCCUAUUAGCUAGUUGGUGAGGUAACGGCUCACCAAGGCGAAGAUGGGGUAUCGGGCGUGAGAGCGUGACCCGACUCACUGGGACUGAGACACUGCCCAGACACCUACGGGUGGCUG
rnacentral:rRNA from 1 species